CUUCUUCUUCCCCGUUCCACUUCUCUGUCAUCCAAUACACGCCUCAUGGUCAAACCUUCGCCGUCAUCCAAAACAUUCUCCGUCGUCCAAAACAGACCCUACGGCCAAAGCCCUUCUCCAUCAUCCAAAACCCAAACCCAUAUUAGCUCCAAACAAAACCCGAUCCCAUUCCCCUUCUCCGUCGUCCAAAACGCCUCUGAAGUGAUUCACUCCAAUCGUAGAUACAGGGAUUUCACUUCCUAACCCUCAAGUGUGUUGGGUUUUGGCCGUCAACUGCAACUGAAGCCAGUCUCCUCUGUAAAGGAAGUCCAAACCCAAGGUUCCCAAAGCGGUUUAUUUAGGCUAUUAUCGGAUCGGCGUCAACCUCCGACUCAUGGUUUGAGUUUUUCACAAAGACAGUGCUCAGUAAAGGCGUUACACGCUGAGCCAAAACGUAAUGAUUUGAUGGCCCCUGGGUUUGGUAUUGUUGGCACACAAAAAGCUCAUUAGGGAGAAGCUUGCAGAAGAGGCUGAACAGAACGUCAAGCAGGGGAGGCCAAGAGGGAAUAUUACUUGGUAACAAGUAUUUCAUACUGGACUGCAUUGUUCAAGAGCUACUGCUGCAUUAAGGUUGCAUCAAUUAAGUGCUACUGCAUAUUGAGACAAACAAAUUUAAUUCUAUGCAACACUCAAUCAAAUUAAAUCAUUUUGAGUUCAAGCCUAAGGUAGA